rnacentral:misc_RNA from 1 species
AACUUUCAGCAACGGAUCUCGCAUCGAUGAAGAACGCAGCGAAAUGCGAUAAGUAAUGUGAAUUGCAGAAUUCAGUGAAUCAUCGAAUCUUUGAACGCACCUUGCGCUCCUUGGUAUUCCGAGGAGCAUGCCUGUUUGAGUGUCAUUAAUAUAUCAACCUUCUCUUUUUGAGUGGUUUGGAUGUGGGGGUUUGCUGGCCUCUUAAAAGGUCUUGGCUCUCCUGAAAUACAUUAGCAGAACAACCCUGUUCAUUGGUGUGAUAACUAUCUACGCUAUUGAAUGUGAAGGGCAGUUUGGCUUUCUAACAGUCCUUGGACAAGCUCAUCAUUAAUGUGACCUCAAAUCAGGUAGGACUACCCGCUGAACUUAAGCAUAUCAAUAAGCGGAGGCU